UAUUACUCCUCUCCUGUAAAUACCUGAAACAGCCUGCUUCUGUGUUCCUAAAAAAACGUGAUAUGUAAUAACCAAUUAAACAUAAAAACUUUUAUGAACAUCUACCAAUGUUAUCCAGAUAUACUCUUCAGUAUGGCUGUCUCUUCUCUGAAAUCAUUCCGGGAUGUAAUAUUUACUGGAUGUCAGAUGCUCUCCGGAUCUGAUGCUGUCUUUGUUGAAUGGAGACAAGGAGGACCAGUCCUUCUGCUUUAGAAAGUGCCAGUAGUCCCAGAAUCUUAUUGAACUUUGGUACAAGUUUGCUGUACAUCUCAGGAGUACAAGCGAUUUAAAAUAUCCAUACAUCAACAUCCUGUGUACCUCCGGCUGCUGCAAAACUACAACUCUCAGCAUGCCUGGACAGCCAAAUGCCAAAGAAAUAUGCUGCAGUCAAUCUUUGGCAUGUAAAGCACUGCUGAGGCAAGUAAUUGUCUGCACAGGUCUCCUGGGUAUAUGGGUGCAUCAUCACUUAAAUAAAAUAAACAUUCAAGUCUCAAGAGUCCAAAAGGAGGAGCCACCAAUGAUUCUCAUAUUAUAGUCUAUUAAAGAAACACCUAAACAUACUUACAUGGCUGUUUUUGUACCCUGAAAAGACUAUAAUAAACAGUGGCUAUGAAUCCGUAGCCACUUCGCUACC